GACGAACGCUGGCGGCGUGCCUAAUACAUGCAAGUCGAACGCGUGGCGGACGGGUUAGUACACGUUGGUAACCUACCCAUCAGAGGGGGAUAACCCUUGGCAACAGGUGCUAAUACCGCAUAUUGAUGGAUGUACCCGCGGUGCAUUAGCUAGUUGGUGAGGUAACGGCUCACCAAGGCGACGAUCCCUAGCGGGUCUGAGAGGAUGAUCAGCAAAACUGGAACUGAGACACGGUCCAGAAGCCUACGGGAGGCAGCAGUGGGGAAGAUGGCACAAUGGGAGAAAGCAUGAUGCAGCCAUGCCGCGUGUAUGAAGAAGGCCUUCGGGUUGUAAAGUACUUGCAGCGGGGAGGCGUUACACGCAGAAGAAGCACCGGCUAACUCCGUGCCAGCAGCCGCGGUAAUAC
rnacentral:rRNA from 1 species